UAUUAGACAUUCAUCAACUUCUAGUGUUAAAAACUGGUAUGCCUAACGAAAUAACCAGACAGUUACACAUGAUAUGCCAUGGGUACCUUAUACUGACGUACAUUGACAAGUUUUUAACAGUAAAAAUGGAUGAUUUUUUAACA
rfam:Gossypium raimondii Chr01_contig_728, whole genome shotgun sequence.